AGCUUGAUCACAAGCUUUGAUGGUGAGGCUUGUAAAAUUUAGAUGCUAGUUGCUCUUAUCACGUUCUCUCUUGGCUUGGAUCUCCCGAGUUCUUGCCUACAUGUGCUUUGUACUUCUCCCAUUUAAAGCAACCCACUUGCAAAGUUUCUGCUGCAUCUGAACAUGUGGUCUUCCAAUUAAGUUCUACUUCUCCCAUAAGACAACAAUUGAGCAUCUCUUUUUUUGCAAAGAACUUCAGGUGUACGGCCAUUUGUCAACGUAUCAGGUCUAUUCAGCCUGGUUCAGGGUGUGCCA